rnacentral:rRNA from 1 species
GACGUAGGAGGCGAGCGUUGUCCGGAUUCAUUGGGCGUAAAGAGCUCGUAGGCGGUUCGGUAAGUCGGGUGUGAAACCUCCAGGCUCAACCUGGAGACGCCACCCGAUACUGCUGUGACUAGAGUCCGGUAGGGGAGCGUGGAAUUCCUGGUGUAGCGGUGAAAUGCGCAGAUAUCAGGAGGAACACCAGCGGCGAAGGCGGCGCUCUGGGCCGGAACUGACGCUGAGGAGCGAAAGCGUGGGGAGCAAACAGG